rnacentral:rRNA from 1 species
AACCUGCGGAAGGAUCAUUAUUGAGCAUAUAAACACUUUUUGGGUUUUAACUGAUUUAAUCGCUACUGCCGCUUCUAGGUAGUGAUUAGAUCGAUGAACGGCUUUGAAGGUUUCUGCAGAUGUCAGGAGCAGUUGUAUGAACGUGACUGCGUUGAUAGGCAUUAAGAUCAUUCGAUUGGUCAGAAUUGAAGAGCUCAGCGGUGAGCCGCCUUCUAUCACUUCUUUUAACAUUUACUUCAAAAUGCACUUAAAGUGUAUUUUAAUGACUUAUCAAGUCUUAUCGGUGGAUCACUCGGUUCAUAGAUCGAUGAAAAACGGGGCAAAAACCGUUAUUUGGCGUGAAUUGCAGACAUAUUGAACGCUAAAAUUUUGAACGCACAUUGCACUAGUAGGUUCAUAUCUACUAGUAUGUUUGGUUGAGGGUCGAUUAACUCGUUACUUGCGAUGAUAUUCGUUUUUUCGAUAAGCCACUCUUUAGAGUGCCUUGUUGGCAUGAUUUUACGAUAGUCUAAUGAACAACGUGAUCGCUUCUAGCGUUGUUUGCUAUCUUAUCGGUUUUGGUAAAGCAAGGCCUUAGUCUGGUGCGGACCGACUGACUUAUACGGUCAACGUAUAUAGCUUCUAAAGUCAGUUUGACUAGGACUGAAAGUUGAUUCACGAUUGUGAGCAACAGAGCUUGCCAAAACUAAGUCGAUUUUUUCGAUUACGACCUCAACUCAAGCAAGGCUACCCGCUGAACUUAAGCAUAU